CCGGUAAGUAAGAAACAGAAACAGCUUUUAAACUAUUUAGGAGACUGUCUUUGGUCAAACUUGAAUAAUGAACAUCCUUCUUAUUAAGAUGCUGCUUCCUCAUUGGUUUAUGUUGAAACACAAGUGUAAUUUCCUGUCCCCUCACAGUGUUGGUUUCUCAUCUCAGUGCAAGCAGAUUUAUCUGGCUCCUCGGUCGACAAAAUCAUCUCCUCAAGAAACAUGGGUGAAUGUUGAAAUGAAUUAAUGAUAAAUUAACCUCCCAUUGACUCCAGGCUGGCUGUAAGGAGAUGAUUUACUAUAAAAGUUCAAGUCUUCUGCUUGACAAGUGAGUCACUGUGCUUAUUAUAUGUUUAUGAGUAGGCAAAUGCACACAAUGUCCCCAUGUGUCCCAGUGAGUUGUGAAAGUCCUGUAAAAGCAGCACAUUAGCCAUGGAUCUUCCUGCUAUGUCUCUCCUGCAGUUUGCUGAGAAUGUUUUCCAUAAUAAAGCUGAG
rnacentral:lncRNA from 1 species